rnacentral:rRNA from 1 species
UACAUGGGGUGCAAACGUUGCUCGGAAUUAUUUGGGCGGUUAAAAGGCGCACGUAGGCGGUUCGUUAAGUCGGAUGUGAAAGCCCGUCGGACCUCAACUGAGGAAGUGCACCCGAAACUGGCGAGCUUGAGUACGAAAGAGGAUCGCGGAAUUCCGGUGUAGAGGUGAAAUUCGUAGAUAUCGGGAGGAACACCGGUGGCGAAGGCGGCGAUCUGGGUCGAUACUGACGCGUGAGGUGCGAAAGCGUGGGGAGCAAACAGG